rnacentral:rRNA from 1 species
UACGUAGGUGGCGAGCGUUGUCCGGAUUUACUGGGCGUAAAGGGCGUGCAGGCGGUCUGUUAAGUCUAGGGUGAAAGCUCCCGGCUCAACUGGGAGAGGUCCUUGGAUACUGGCGGACUUGAGGGAGGCAGAGGAGAAUGGAAUUCCCGGUGUAGUGGUGAUAUGCGUAGAUAUCGAGAGGAACACCUGCGGCGAAGGCGGGUAGCUGGGCCGACACUGACGCUGAGGCGCGAAAGCCAGGGGAGCGAACGGG